GUCCAGACUCCUACGGGAGGCAGCAGUGGGGGAUAUUGCACAAUGGGGGAAACCCUGAUGCAGCGACGCCGCGUGAGUGAAGAAGUAUUUCGGUAUGUAAAGCUCUAUCAGCAGGGAAGAAAAUGACGGUACCUGACUAAGAAGCCCCGGCUAACUACGUGCCAGCAGCCGCGGUAAUACGUAGGGGGCAAGCGUUAUCCGGAUUUACUGGGUGUAAAGGGAGCGUAGACGGCUGUGCAAGCCAGAUGUGAAAGCCCGGGGCUCAACCCCGGGACUGCAUUUGGAACUGUGUGGCUGGAGUGUCGGAGAGGCAGGCGGAAUUCCUAGUGUAGCGGUGAAAUGCGUAGAUAUUAGGAGGAACACCAGUGGCGAAGGCGGCCUGCUGGACGAUGACUGACGUUGAGGCUCGAAAGCGUGGGGAGCAAACAGGAUUAGAUACCCGCGUAU
rnacentral:rRNA from 1 species